GCAGUUCCCCCGCACUUUGCCUGCCACCAUGUAAGAUGUGUCUUUGCGCCUCCUUUGCCUUCCACCAUGAUUGUGCGGCCUCCCCAGCCAUGUGGAACGACACAACUCUUCACCAGUGCACAAAACCUGAUGAGAAGGAUACAGACUGGAUUUUGGUCCAGCUUGCUGCUUAACUAGGUUCCCUUGCACAACGCACAACCUGUGCAAUGAUUAUGCAGUGAAAUUGAUGGCCAUUACCUAACGUGGCUUCAGUGACCAUGUUUUCAAAACUGGGAGUCAGAGUGCAUGGCUUGACAUCAAGGCUUUGUGUCACA
rnacentral:lncRNA from 10 species